GUGUGCGAGUCAUUGGGUAUUUUGUUGAAACCUAAGGGCGCAAUUAAAAUAACUAUUUUAUGGGAUUACAAGUGAAUUAAAUUUCAUUUCUCCAUCCCGGGGCGUUCUAUACGAACAUGGUUUAAGCAAUUGAACCCUCUGUUCAAGAGCGUACCUUGAGCAUACAUGCUGUGACCCGAAAGAUGGUGAACUAUACCUGAUCAGAUCGAAGCCAGGAGAAAUUCUGGUGGAGGAUCGAAACAGUUCUGACGUGCAAAUCGAUUGUCAGAAUUGGGUAUAGGGGCGAAAGACCAAUCGAACCAUCUAGUAGCUGGUUCCCUCCGAAGUUUCCCUCAGGAUAGCUGGCGCAAAUAAUUAUAUUUUAUAUAAUCUUAUCUGGUAAAGCGAAUGAUUAGAGGCCUUGGGGCCGAAACGACCUCAACCUAUUCUCAAACUUUAAAUGGGUAAGAACCUCAUCUUUCUUGAUCUGAAGAUAUUGGGGUUUAGAUAUAUUGUGCCCAGUGGGCCACUUUUGGUAAGCAGAACUGGCGCUGUGGGAUGAACCAAACAUGAUGUUACGGCGCCUAAAUUAAUGACUCAUAUUGAUACCAUGAAAGGCGUUGGUUGCUUAAAACAGCAGGACGGUGGACAUGGAAGUCGUAAUCCGCUAAGGAGUGUGUAACAACUCACCUGCCGAAGCAACUAGCCCUUAAAAUGGAUGGCGCUCAAGUCAUAUGCCUAUACAUCAUCGCUAGAAUAAAAAUUGUUGGCCAUUUUUGGUCAUCAUUAUGAAAUUCUAGUGAGUAGGAGGGUACAAUGGUGUGCGCAGAAGUGUUUGGCGUGAGCCUGCAUGAAGCCGCCAUUGGCACAGAUCUUGGUGGUAGUAGCAAAUAAUCGAAUGAGAUCUUGGAGGACUGAAGUGGAGAAGGGUUUCGUGUGAACAGUGGUUGAUCACGAGUUAGUCGGUCCUAAGCUUUAUGCGAAAGCUGUUUAAUUUAUGUUACACACAAAUAUACUAUUUUAUUGUUGUACAUAAUUCAAUAAAAGCGAAAGGGAAUACGGUUCCAAUUCCGUAACCUGUUGAGUAUACGUUUGUUUAUUAAAAAUGGGUCUUAUUACACUCAUCCUGGCAACAGGAACGACCA
rnacentral:rRNA from 1 species